rnacentral:rRNA from 1 species
UACGUAGGGGGCAAGCGUUAUCCGGAUUUACUGGGUGUAAAGGGAGCGUAGGUGGCAAAUCAAGUCAGAUGUGAAAGCCCGGGGCUCAACUCCGGGAUUGCAUUUGAAACUGGUAUGCUAGAGUGCAGGAGAGGUAAGUGGAAUUCCUAGUGUAGCGGUGAAAUGCGUAGAUAUUAGGAGGAACACCAGUGGCGAAGGCGGCUUACUGGACUGUAACUGACACUGAGGCUCGAAAGCGUGGGGAGCAAACAGGAUUAGAUACC